AUUGAACGCUGGCGGCAGGCCUAACACAUGCAAGUCGAACGGUAGCACAGAGGAGCUUGCUCCUUGGGUGACGAGUGGCGGACGGGUGAGUAAUGUCUGGGAAACUGCCCGAUGGAGGGGGAUAACUACUGGAAACGGUAGCUAAUACCGCAUAACGUCGCAAGACCAAAGAGGGGGACCUUCGGGCCUCUUGCCAUCGGAUGUGCCCAGAUGGGAUUAGCUAGUAGGUGGGGUAACGGCUCACCUAGGCGACGAUCCCUAGCUGGUCUGAGAGGAUGACCAGUCACACUGGAACUGAGACACGGUCCAGACUCCUACGGGAGGCAGCAGUGGGGAAUAUUGCACAAUGGGCGCAAGCCUGAUGCAGCCAUGCCGCGUGUAUGAAGAAGGCCUUCGGGUUGUAAAGUACUUUCAGCGAGGAGGAAGGUGUUGUGGUUAAUAACCGCAGCAAUUGACGUUACUCGCAGAAGAAGCACCGGCUAACUCCGUGCCAGCAGCCGCGGUAACACGGAGGGUGCAAGCGUUAAUCGGAAUUACUGGGCGUAAAGCGCACGCAAGCGGUCUGUCAAGUCGGAUGUGAAAUCCCCGGGCUCAACCUGGGAACUGCAUCCGAAACUGGCAGGCUAGAGUCUUGUAGAGGGGGGUAGAAUUCCAGGUGUAGCGGUGAAAUGCGUAGAGAUCUGGAGGAAUACCGGUGGCGAAGGCGGCCCCCUGGACAAAGACUGACGCUCAGGUGCGAAAGCGUGGGGAGCAAACAGGAUUAGAUACCCUGGUAGUCCACGCCGUAAACGAUGUCGACUUGGAGGUUGUGCCCUUGAGGCGUGGCUUCCGGAGCUAACGCGUUAAGUCGACCGCCUGGGGAGUACGGCCGCAAGGUUAAAACUCAAAUGAAUUGACGGGGGCCCGCACAAGCGGUGGAGCAUGUGGUUUAAUUCGAUGCAACGCGAAGAACCUUACCUACUCUUGACAUCCAGAGAACUUAGCAGAGAUGCUUUGGUGCCUUCGGGAACUCUGAGACAGAUGCUGCAUGGCUGUCGUCAGCUCGUGUUGUGAAAUGUUGGGUUAAGUCCCGCAACGAGCGCAACCCUUAUCCUUUGUUGCCAGCGAUUCGGUCGGGAACUCAAAGGAGACUGCCAGUGAUAAACUGGAGGAAGGUGGGGAUGACGUCAAGUCAUCAUGGCCCUUACGAGUAGGGCUACACACGUGCUACAAUGGCAUAUACAAAGAGAAGCGACCUCGCGAGAGCAAGCGGACCUCAUAAAGUAUGUCGUAGUCCGGAUUGGAGUCUGCAACUCGACUCCAUGAAGUCGGAAUCGCUAGUAAUCGUGGAUCAGAAUGCCACGGUGAAUACGUUCCCGGGCCUUGUACACACCGCCCGUCACACCAUGGGAGUGGGUUGCAAAAGAAGUAGGUAGCUUAACCUUCGGGAGGGCGCUUACCACUUUGUGAUUCAUGACUGGGGUG
rnacentral:rRNA from 1 species